GAUGAACGCUGGCGGCGUGCCUAAUACAUGCAAGUCGAGCGAACAGAUGAGGAGCUUGCUCCUCUGACGUUAGCGGCGGACGGGUGAGUAACACGUGGAUAACCUACCUAUAAGACUGGGAUAACUUCGGGAAACCGGAGCUAAUACCGGAUAAUAUAUUGAACCGCAUGGUUCAAUAGUGAAAGACGGUUUUGCUGUCACUUAUAGAUGGAUCCGCGCCGCAUUAGCUAGUUGGUAAGGUAACGGCUUACCAAGGCAACGAUGCGUAGCCGACCUGAGAGGGUGAUCGGCCACACUGGAACUGAGACACGGUCCAGACUCCUACGGGAGGCAGCAGUAGGGAAGCUUCCGCAAUGGGCGAAAGCGUGACGGAGCAACGCCGCGUGAGUGAUGAAGGUCUUCGGAUCGUAAAACUCUGUUAUUAGGGAAGAACAAAUGUGUAAGUAACUAUGCACGUCUUGACGGUACCUAAUCAGAAAGCCACGGCUAACUACGUG
rnacentral:rRNA from 1 species